AUACUUACCUGGCAGGGGAGACACCAUGGUCACAAAGGUGGUUUUCCCCGGGCGAGGCUCAACCAUUGCACUCUGGCUGCGCUCACAUCUGUGAUUUCCCCAAAUGUGGGAAACUCAACUGCACAAUUUGUGUUAGCAGGGACUGCAUCCACACUUUCCCCUGA
ensembl:snRNA U1 U1 spliceosomal RNA